rnacentral:rRNA from 1 species
AACGAACGCUGGCGGCGCGCCUAAUACAUGCAAGUCGAGCGAGAAGACGUAGCAAUACGUUUGUAAAGCGGCGAACGGGUGAGGAAUACAUGGGUAACCUACCCUCGAGUGGGGAAUAACUAGCCGAAAGGUUAGCUAAUACCGCGUACGCUCCUUGGACUUCGGUUCAGGGAGGAAAGCGAUACCGUGGGUAUCGCGCUCUUGGAUGGGCUCAUGUCCUAUCAGCUUGNGGUGAGGUAACGGCUCACCAAGGCUUCGACGGGUAGCUGGUCUGAGAGGACGAUCAGCCACACUGGCACUGCGACACGGGCCAGACUCCUACGGGAGGCAGCAGUAAGGAUAUUGCGCAAUGGGCGAAAGCCUGACGCAGCGACGCCGCGUGGGGGAUGAAGGUCUUCGGAUUGUAAACCCCUUUCGGG